GGCCACCCCCUAGCCCCGGCCCUGCAGCCAGCGAGGGCUGUCGAGCCAAUGAAUGGAGGAAGGGGCGCAGAAGUCAGGGGCGCUGGGGGCGCCACGCCAGGUGGACAUCUGAUUUAUGAAGCUCCCCAUCCACCUGUCUGAGUACCUGACUUCUCAGGACUGACUCCUACAGCAUCAGAUACACAGCUUCUCCUAGCAUGACCUUGAUCUGAUCAGCAAACAAGAACAUUUGUCUCCCGUAGUUCUGGGGCCUAUUCACCAUCUACAACCACAGAGCUGUCAUGGCUGCCAUCUCUACUUCCAUCCCUGUAAUUUCACAGCCCCAGUUCACAGCCAUGAAUGAACCACAGUGCUUCUACAACGAAUCCAUUGCCUUCUUUUAUAACCGAAGUGGAAAGCAUCUUGCCACAGAAUGGAACACAGUCAGCAAGCUGGUGAUGGGACUUGGAAUCACUGUUUGUAUCUUCAUCAUGUUGGCCAACCUACUGGUCAUGGUGGCAAUCUAUGUCAACCGCCGCUUCCAUUUUCCUAUUUAUUACCUAAUGGCUAAUCUGGCUGCUGCAGACUUCUUUGCUGGGUUGGCCUACUUCUAUCUCAUGUUCAAGACAGGGCCCAAUACUCGGAGGCUGACUGUUAGCACAUGGCUCCUUCGUCAGGGCCUCAUUGACACCAGCCUGACGGCAUCUGUGGCCAACUUACUGGCUAUUGCAAUCGAGAGGCACAUUACGGUUUUCCGCAUGCAGCUCCACACACGGAUGAGCAACCUGCGGGUAGUGGUGGUCAUUGUGGUCAUCUGGACUAUGGCCAUCGUUAUGGGUGCUAUACCCAGUGUGGGCUGGAACUGUAUCUGUGAUAUUGAAAAUUGUUCCAACAUGGCACCCCUGUACAGCGACUCUUACUUAGUCUUCUGGGCCAUUUUCAACUUGGUGACCUUUGUGGUAAUGGUGGUUCUCUAUGCUCACAUCUUUGGCUAUGUUCGCCAGAGGACUAUGAGAAUGUCUCGGCAUAGUUCUGGACCCCGGCGGAAUCGGGAUACCAUGAUGAGUCUUCUGAAGACUGUGGUCAUUGUGCUUGGGGCCUUUAUCAUCUGCUGGACUCCUGGAUUGGUUUUGUUACUUCUAGACGUGUGUUGUCCGCAGUGCGACGUGCUGGCCUAUGAGAAAUUCUUCCUUCUCCUUGCUGAAUUCAACUCUGCCAUGAACCCCAUCAUUUACUCCUACUGCGACAAAGAAAUGAGCGCCACCUUUAGGCAGAUCCUCUGCUGCCAACGCAGUGAGAACCCCAGCGGCCCCACAGAAGGCUCAGACCGCUCGGCUUCCUCCCUCAACCACACCAUCUUGGCUGGAGUUCACAGCAAUGACCACUCUGUGGUUUAGAACGGAAACUGAGAUGAGGAACCAGCCGUCCUCUCUUGGAGGAUAAACAGUCUCCCCCUACCCAAUUGCCAGGGCAAGGUGGGGUGUGAGAGAGGAGAAGUGUCAACUCAUGUACUUAAACACUAACCAAUGACAGUAUUUGUUCCUAGGCCCCACAAGACUUGAUAUAUAUUGAAAAUUAGCUUAUGUGACAACCCUCACCUUGAUCCCCAUCCCUUCUGAAAGUAGGAAGUGGAGCUCUUGCAAUGGAAUUCAAGAACAGACUCUGGAGUGUCCAUUUAGACUACACUAACUAGACUUUAAAAAGAUUUUGUGUGGUUUGGUGCAAGUCAGGAUAAAUUCUGACUAGUUGAAUCCACAGCUUCAUUUAUAUACAGCCUUCCCUUUUUUAUUUUUAAAGGAUACGUUUCACUUAAUAAACAUGUUUAUGCCUAUCAGCAUGUUUGUGAUGGAUGAGACUAUGGACUGUUUUUAAACUACCAUAAUUCCAUUUUUUCCCUUACAUAGGAAAACUGUAAGCUGGAAUUAUCUUUUGUUUAGAAAGCAUGCAUGUAAUGUAUGUAUGCAGUAUGCCUUACUUAAAAAGAUUAAAAGGAUACUAAUUUUAAAUCUUCUAGGAAAUAGAACCUAGACUUCAAAGCCAGUAUUUGUUUAGGUUAUGAAGCAAACAAUGCUCUAAUGACAAUAUUAACUGUUUAAUUAAAAUGUUGUAACAAGUUUAAAACAGGGAAUGUAAAUUUUUGCCAAAGUGAUAUGUAUUCCAAAAAAGUCAUAGAAGAUGAAGCACUGUAAUAUUGUUCCCACAUGUUUAAAAUACCCAAGUACAUUCUAAUUACCAGUGUAUCAGAGGAAAGUUUUUGUAGUCUUUGUAAAAUAAUAUACUCAUCACAGAAAACUUGAAAAAUGCAGAAAUGUAUAAAAAAGCAAAAAUUGUUACUGAUAAUAUCACAACCCAGAAGGAACCACCUUUCAAAAGCAACCCCCAUAUAUGCCUAUGUAUGUAUUGUAUACCUUUUUUACAUAAUUGGAAUCAUACUGUAAACAGUUUUAUAAGUAGAUCUUUUUCAUUGCAAAAUUGCCACAUUUUCUUAUGGUAUUAAAAAUUUUACAAAAACAAUUUUAAUGGCUAUAUUAUAUUCCAUUUAAUGGAUGCAACUCAGUUUAUUUAACCAUUCCCAUGUUGUUAGCUGUUUAGGUUAUUUCUAAUUUUCAUUUUGCAGAAAUUUUGUGUGCAUAAACUUUGUCCAUAUAAUUGAUUAUUAGGACAUAUUCCCAUGAAGGAUUCUUUUUUUCAAAAAAUGUGCAAUGUCAUCUUUUACUUAUACCUUUCAUAAAAAGGGAUUUCCUGCGUUUGCACUGAAUGGGUGGCAGUUGUGAGGAAAAGCCAGUCAAAUGACCUUUUUAGAAAAGAAAUGCAGUGGUCAGUUUAGUUGAGAGUGACUUUUUAAUAUAACAAGAUCAACUAGAAGCAUUCAACUGUCUCAAGAAUCAAGGUAUCCCAAUAUAUCUCGCAAUUCCAAACUUUGUUUGAGUGACUCGUUAUCCAGCUCUUGGUAGCCACACCUGCAAUGUAAAAUUGAAGAAAAUUCAAAGAAACCAAAUGUGCUGAGUGAAUAAAGGAUUGUCAUAUCAAUUAGUUUGGGUCCAUCUGUAGCAAAUGGGUUGAGUGUGUCAGUAUGUGAUUGGUUACUGUGUAUUCUCCAGAAAUCACCCCAAUAGGCUGCUGCCCUAUUAGGUGAUACCUGUUUAAUACGUUGUCCAGGUAGAGUAGUAGUUGCAUCAGUUUGCUGUAACAAGUGACCAGUGAAGUAACACAGUGGUGAAGCAGGUCAGGGCAGGUCAGGAGGAUGUCUGAGAGAAAGAAGUCUGGGAGAUGAAUGACUGUCUAGGAAGGAGGACAUCAGUGCACGGUUACUGUUUGAGCAGAGGGCAGACUUGUAAAGUACCCGUAGUGAAAAGAAUGUGGGGACUCAAUUAGCAGAAAGGUGUUUGCACAUACUUUUUACAAAAUACAGAAUACUUUAUAUUGGAAGUGAAAGAAAUGAACUUGGACUUUUACGCAUGUGCAUAUUUUUCUGGAGGCUGUAUGGAUUAUUUGAAAUGAAAAGCAUACUAAUUGGACUUUAAUAAAUCAUUUUCAA